AAGUAUUCUUCGGUGCAGCCAGCGCUUCCACAGCGCGGCAGCCCAAACCUUACACACUGUGAUUAGUUUUUUUACUAUUUACUUUGGCUGCGCAAGUGGCCAAAGGUCUUAAACACAAAGAUUUACAUCUUUUUUUACAAAAUUUAGUCAAUGAAGUUUUAAUACUAUAAUCUUCA
rnacentral:misc_RNA from 1 species